GCCCCUGCUCCUUUUUUGCAGACCAGCAUGCAAUAGCUUCGUUGUUUAUCCACUACUAAUUAAUAGCUCCGUGGCCGUGGUAGGUAACUAAGUUCUGGAACUGUGUCAAGGGUAUGUCUCCAAGGGCAAUUCUAUAGCAAAUCCUACCUGUAAGUCUGCAAGCAGGAUGAAGAAGGGGUGUUGCUAUAGAGCUUUUACUGAUCGAGAGGUCUCAGGAAGACACCGCAGACUGUGCUCUCAGGGCACAGUCGGGGCAGAUGUGUCCAGCAGAGGGAUAUUAAGUGCAAAAAAUUGCUGGCCCAGAUUGGCAGCUUGGAUGUCAAACUUUCAGCUAUGGGACACACCCUCUACAAAGAAUUUUUAGGAAAAUGCAUCUCUAGAUCUGACCUCAUUAGACAAAGGACAGUUAGCAAAGUGAUAAUCACAGUGGUGUCACAUUCACUGUAGUCUAUAUUCGUGAAUAUAACUCUUAGGUCAUAUGAGGAAGGAAUUCAGAGCGCAUAAUUUAACAUAUUAAUGUUUGUAGCUUUCAUUUUCUAUCAGUAGA